CCCAACCUAUAGCCGGAUUCCCAACUACACACUCAUACUUUACGGGGGUCCUAUUACCCCCCUGAACAUUUUUUUUUACUAAUUUUCUCACCCUUAUUUGCUGACAUGUCCAAGAAGGUGAGAUCAACUCCCUUAGGCACGUAAGAACAGAAAAUAAAACGUUAAAAGCUGAAGAAAACUGCACAUGUGAGUCCAAAUCAGCUAUAUUAAAUCUCCAAUGGUAUAAUCUCAUCUCUCCCAAAAUCAAACUCUCUUUUUCUUCCUUUUU
rnacentral:lncRNA from 1 species